rnacentral:rRNA from 1 species
GAUGAACGCUGGCGGCGUGCCUAAUACAUGCAAGUCGAGCGAACAGAUGAGGAGCUUGCUCCUCUGACGUUAGCGGCGGACGGGUGAGUAACACGUGGAUAACCUACCUAUAAGACUGGGAUAACUUCGGGAAACCGGCGCUAAUACCGGAUAAUAUAUUGAACCGCAUGGUUCAAUAGUGAAAGACGGUUUUGCUGUCACUUAUAGAUGGAUCCGCGCCGCAUUAGCUAGUUGGUCAGGUAACGGCUUACCAAGGCAACGAUGCGUAGCCGACCUGAGAGGGUGAUCGGCCGCACUGGAACUGAGACACGGUCCAGACUCCUACGGGAGGCAGCAGUAGGGAAUCUUCCGCAAUGGGCGAAAGCUUGACGGAGCAACGCCGCGUGAGUGAUGAAGGUCUUCGGAUCGUAAAACUCUGUUAUUAGGGAAGAACAAAUGUGUAAGUAACGAUGCACGUCUUGACGGUACCUAAUCAGAAAGCCACGGCUAACUACGUG